AGAGAGAUGGCAGAGUGGUCGAUUGCGGCGGUCUUGAAAACCGUUGAACCGUGAGGUUCCGGGGGUUCGAAUCCCUCUCUCUCUGCAA
rnacentral:tRNA from 1 species